rnacentral:rRNA from 1 species
UACAGAGGUCCCAAGCGUUGUUCGGAUUCACUGGGCGUAAAGGGUGCGUAGGUGGUGAGGUAAGUCGGAUGUGAAAUCUCCGAGCUCAACUCGGAAACUGCAUUGGAAACUACCUUGCUCGAGGGUUGGAGGGGGGACUGGAAUGCUUGGUGUAGCAGUGAAAUGCGUAGAUAUCAAGCGGAACACCAGUGGCGAAGGCGACUCUUUGGCCUGUAACUGACGCUGAGGCGCGAAAGCGUGGGGAGCAAACAGG